rnacentral:tRNA from 1 species
ACCUGGGUGGCUCACUCAGUUGAGUGUCUGACUUCAGCUCAGGUCAUGAUCUCACGGUGCGUGGGUUCGAGCCCCACAUCAGGUU